rnacentral:lncRNA from 10 species
CAUCUGAGGAAAGAAGACAGUUACAGAACAGGGCCAAGGGCCAAGCUGUGGCCUUAAGCCAAUAUCUUGAGGUCAGGAAAAGAAGAAAUUCAACGUAAGGAAUGACAGUGAGCUAGGAAAAGCAGAAAGGAUGUGACCAACUGUGUCAAAUGCUGCUGAGACGUAAAACAUGAUGAAGUCCAAGAAUUGACUGGAGGGUCUGGUAGGACAGAGGUCAUUGCUGCUGAUCUAAAUGAAAGCUGUUUUGUAGCAAUGCUGGAGAUGCAAGCUUCAGUAAAGUGAGCUGAAGGACAUAAACAUAAACAUAAGCAAGAAGAAAGAAGAAGUGUAGACAAUUGUUUCCAGGGGAUGGCCGAUACUAGGCAUGCAUGUGCAUACAGAAAAGAGAGUAACCCAAUAGUGAGGAAGAAAUUGAUGCUGCAGGAGAGAGGGAAUAAUUGCCGAAGCAAAGAUCUUGAGGUACUGAGAAAGGAUGACCCUAAUUUCCUUAAUGCUGCGCCAUAUGAUCAGGACGACAGGAGUUGAUUGACCUGCAUCAAACAUUACCUACUAGUCUCCCUCACACAAAACAAAGUAAAAGAGGAGAAUUGGAAGAAAGCAAUACCACUGCAGCCACACUGGGUGCAAGCUUUGAGAAUUCUGGGACUUUGUACACGAGUGAACCAGAGAGAACCUGUGGUGUGCUGGGAAAACCCAUAGGCCCUGCAGAAACAUCUAAUUAGUGUUGAUUUUGAGCCAGGAGGAUACCUCAGCCCCUGUAAUGGAAUUAAAGAAAUAUUGGAGCUGAUUCUGGUCCACCAAGAAGGGGAUGUGUUUCAGGCCUGCUUCCACUGAGGGACUGGAGGCUCCUUGAGCAAAAUUAUCUACCUCUUCACCUUUGGAUCUUUCACAGUUCCCAGUUCGGUGUACUACAGAUUGUACUUGCUAAAUAAAAAAUCAUUGUCAUGGU